rnacentral:rRNA from 1 species
CAAUAGCGUAUAUUUAAGUUGCUGCAGUUAAAAAGCUCGUAGUUGGAUUUCGGGUGGGAAUGGCCGGUCCGCCGUUUCGGUGUGCACUUGCUACGCCCACCUUGCUGCCGGGGACGUGCUCUUGAGUUCACGCUCGGGACACGGAGUCGGCGAGGUUACUUUGAGUAAAUUAGAGUGUUCAAAGCAGGCCUACGCUCUGAAUACAUUAGCAUGGAAUAACACGAUAGGACUCUGGCCUAUCUUGUUGGUCUGUAGGACCGGAGUAAUGAUUAAGAGGGACAGUCGGGGGCAUUCGUAUUUCAUUGUCAGAGGUGAAAUUCUUGGAUUAUGAAAGACGAACUACUGCGAAAGCAUUUGCCAAGGAUGUUUUCAUUAA